UGUUCAGCUUGGAGAGGCAACGGCAUCCGUGUACCACUGCAUAUUAGCAGCAUACGGGCGGACAUAACUAAGUACUUGGUUUAGUCUAAGUAAGAGAGCGUGUUGUAACAAUGAGUUCUUCAUAGGAGGAUCAUGUUAGAGGUGGGAUACUUCCAUACAUAGAAUAUUCAUAUACAGAGACUGGUGAGAGAGAGAUUCCUGAGCCCUUGUCCGGGAGAGGCCCUGGUUGUGUGACCCUGGAGCUCCCUCCUGUCUCUGCCAUUCCUUGACUCCGGAGACCAGGGAAUUUUCCAUGCGACUCUGCCCUUCACAGAGAGAGGCUGCAUCUGUCCUUUAUGUGAAUAUUGUACAAUCCUACGCUAUCCCCUCUCCCCACAUAAAAUAAAUGAAAUUAUUCAUGUGCUCACUCUAAUGGAGUAACUGAACAAUAGAUUUUAAUCUGUAGUCCAUGAAAACCAUCAUGAAUACAUUAAAUAGAAUUUGAGUGAUGCCUGCCGUGGAGAUUUAAAUCCCAGUGUUCACAGUAAAAGGGAAUGAAACUGUGCGUGUUGUCUCAGGAUGUAAAUGUGAUUCACUUUUACACGUAACACUGAAGUCAUGGAACACAGUAGUGGUCCCAGCUCGGCACUUCCCAGAUGAAGAGCAGCCAAUGCUCCCCAGGUAAGACAAGAGAAAUCAAAGCAGAAAUACAUUGAAAAGUCUUGACCACUUGGGAUUUGAUUAAACUAUCAAGGGGUUCAUCCUUGGCAUGAAAUUUCAGGGAAAAAAAGCAAAACAAAACAAAUCAAAACACAUUCAUUCCCUCCCCAAUAAUUAAAUCUGAAUGUGCCGAUGAAUGAAAUACCUCAUUGAUAGGUAGAAAGUCCAUCUAGGCCUUGGCUGGCUAAGGAUGUGAGUUUAGGAGGUUUAAGUGUCCUUCCUGCAGCUAAGGUGAGGUGGGCAGGAGGAAGGGUCAAAAUUCAAAACAAUCAAAACAGAAGGUUGGGUAGUGAGACACAUGACUUGAGGAGUUCGUUUGUGUAUGAAAGAUCAAGGGAUAGUAGAAAAUUUAGGAAGACAUAAUACUCAGUGGCACACUAGGGACUUGAAAAAUGAGAGCUAGACUCCCAGAGAGAGGGGGACAGCAGCCUGGGGUCACAGACAGGAGGGGAAGAAGUCAUAGUGGCAGAGCCUAGAGAUGCAGAGGCAGGUGGCUGUGCAAUUACCACUCUGCUCCGUGGCUCAUCCGUGUGUAUCUGGCAGGUCUGUCUAUGCUUUCAUUUGCCUGCCACCAAUCACAAGCCAAAAUAACGCUAAAUGGGAAAUUGCAGAGACAAGCAUCCCAUACUCUGUCAACAGUGAACAUCUCUGAGUAGGGCGGUGAGAUCUCAGAUCACCCUGCUCCAGAUGAGGACCACACCAGGCUGGAGGCAAGACAAGGCACAUUCAAAGUCCUUUGAACUGAAUUACUGAGCGGAGCCGAGGGAGAUUAUCCGGAUCACCAAUUCUCCACUAAUGAAGACAAGUGACUGUAUGAACCUCAUGAGCCCAGGUUCCCAGCAUUAACAUAUCAGCGCUAUUUGGAAUAAAUGUGCAUAACAGACACAUUUAUUUUACGAUAGCAGAGGGUGACUCCAGCUGAACAGGCAUGAUUGAAAACCUAAAGCUCAAGCCAUGCGCCAUUACUUAAAAAGCACCUUUUAAGCUAUUUACUGUGUAACGAGUAUCAUUGACGGUAAGAGGCAUAUGAAUGACGCGAAGCUGAUUGGAAAAUAAAAUGCUGGACAAUCAAACUGAACGAUUUCUCCAGGCGUAAAGAUUGCUAUGCUGGUGAGGACCUCGUCACUAGAAGAGUGACACAGAACUGCGGGGAAGCCCUUUACUCUCACGGCCAUGGGUUUGAAUUCUGCCACUGUUUUUGUCUACCACUGAUAAAUUCAU